rnacentral:rRNA from 1 species
AACGUAGGGGGCGAGCGUUGUCCGGAAUUAUUGGGCGUAAAGCGUUCGCAGGUGGCUGUUCAAGUCUGCUGUCAAAGACCGGGGCUUAACCCCAGAAAGGCAGUGGAAACUGAACGGCUGGAGUGCAGUAUGGGUAGAGGGAAUUCCCAGUGUAGCGGUGAAAUGCGUAGAGAUUGGGAAGAACACCGGUGGCGAAAGCGCUCUGCUGGACUGCAACUGACACUGAGGGACGAAAGCUAGGGGAGCGAAAGGG